GAUGAACGCUAGCUACAGGCUUAACACAUGCAAGUCGAGGGGCAGCAUGGACAUAGCUUGCUAUGUUUGAUGGCGACCGGCGCACGGGUGCGUAACACGUAUCCAAUCUGCCCGUUACUCGGGGAUAGCCUUCUGAAAGGAAGAUUAAUACCCGAUGGCAUGUAUUUCCGGCAUCGGAGAUACAUUAAAGAUUUAUCGGUAACGGAUGAGGAUGCGUACGAUUAGCUUGUUGGCGGGGUAACGGCCCACCAAGGCGACGAUCGUUAGGGGUUCUGAGAGGAAGGUCCCCCACACUGGAACUGAGACACGGUCCAGACUCCUACGGGAGGCAGCAGUGAGGAAUAUUGGUCAAUGGGCGCGAGCCUGAACCAGCCAAGUAGCGUGAAGGAUGACUGCCCUACGGGUUGUAAACUUCUUUUGUUUGGAAUAAAUGAUACUACGUGUAGUAUUUUGCAUGUACCUUACGAAUAAGCAUCGGCUAAUUCCGUGCCAGCAG
rnacentral:rRNA from 1 species